UGGAUGAUGUGGAUUAAUUCGAUGCAACGCGAAAACCUUACCUACCCUUGACAUGUCUGGAACCUUGCUGAGAGGCGAGGGUGCCUUCGGGAGCCAGAACACGGGUGCUGCAUGGCUGUCGUCAGCUCGUGUCGUGAGAUGUUGGGUUAAGUCCCGCAACGAGCGCAACCCUUGUCACUAGUUGCCAUCAUUUAGUUGGGCACUCUAGUGAGACUGCCGGUGACAAAACGGAGGAAGGUGGGGAUGACGUCAAAUCAUCAUGCCCCUUAUGUUCUGGGCUACACACGUGCUACAAUGGCCGGUACAGACGGACGCAAAGCCGCGAGGUGGAGCAAAUCCUAAAAAGCCGGUCUCAGUUCGGAUUGCAGGCUGCAAUUCGCCUGCAUGAAGUCGGAAUCGCUAGUAAUCGCAGGUCAGCAUACUGCGGUGAAUACGUUCCCGGGCCUU
rnacentral:rRNA from 1 species